rnacentral:rRNA from 1 species
CCAUCGAAUCGCUGCGAAAACUAUCAAGCUAGAGAAUGGCAGGGGCAACUGGAAUUUCGCAUGUAGGGGUAAAAUCCGUUGAUAUGCGAAGGAACACCAAAAGCGAAGGCAGGUUGCUGGGCCAUUUCUGACGCUGAGGAACGAAAGCGUGGGGAGCAAACAGGAUUAGAUACCCUGGUAGUCCACGCCGUAAACGAUGGAUACUCGAUGUGGGAGGGAAUCGACCCCCUUCCGUGUCCAAGCUAACGCGUUAAGUAUCCCGCCUGGGGAGUACGGUCGCAAGAUUAAAACUCAAAGGAAUAGACGGGGACCCACACAAGCGGUGGAGCAUGUGGUUUAAUUCGACAAUAAACGGGGAACCUUACCCAGGCUUGACAUCUCCGGAAGCCCGCCGAAAGGCGGAUGUGCCGUAAGGAACCGGAUGACAGGUGCUGCAUGGUCGUCGUCAGCUCGUGCCUUGAGGUGUUCGGUUAAGUCCGUAAACGAGCGCAACCCAUGUCCUAUGUUGCAUGUUUCAUAGGAGACUGCCGGCUCCAAGUCGGAGGAAGGUAUGGAUGACGUCAGAUCAGCAUGGCCCUUAUGCCUGGGGCUACACACGUG